rnacentral:rRNA from 1 species
AUAAGCUUCCACGGGGAAACUGAGAAUGGCUCAUUAAAACAGUUAUAGUUUCCUUGGCGGUCAUUCAUUAUAUGGAUAACCGUGGUAAUUCGAGAGUUAAUACAUGCGUCCAAACCCAACUUUGGGGAAGGGUUGUGUUUAUUAGAAACAGAACCAACCCCGGCCGGCGUGGGUGGAUGGUCAUGAAAAUAAACAAGGGAAUCGCGCUUGCGGCGGCGAUGAAUCAUUCAAGUUUCUGACCUAUCAGCUUUCGACGGUAGGGUAUUGGCCUACCGUGGCAAUGACGGGUAACGGAGAAUUAGGGUUCGAUUCCGGAGAGGGAGCCCGAGAAACGGCUACCACGUAUAAGGGAGGCAGCUGGC